GUAAAUGCAAUAACACAUCAAUGGAUCCCAAAGAGAAUGGUGAAAUAUGUUAGAAGCAUUGUCAUCUAGUGAAAUAUGAUUUCUUAUGAAGUGAAAAUAUCUCAAAUCUACAUAGUGUGAUAAUAUGAUAGGAAACUAACAUAAAUAUAGCAGAAUAUUGGCUUAGUAAUAUUUUUCAAGAAUAAAUUAGAAAUUAAUAAAUCGAUGUGUGUAUUGUCUAGAAACCUUAUUGGUUAAUGCCAAGGUAGAAAUUUCAUCUAUAUGGAUAGGAUGAAUGGUGAAUUACUGAAUUUCCUAAACUGAAAACACCACAGAAAAAACAGAAAGCAGACAUCAUCAGUAUGAAACAUGCAAGUACGAAAGCAAUUAAUUCUUUCAUUUCAUUAAACCACCAAAAUAGUUAAAUAUAUAUUAAUAUAUGAGUGAAAAUUCGCAUCGAAAUAUUCAUCCUGAAAACACUGACUUAGAUUACAUCCAUAACCAAUUCAGCAUCAUGGACCAUCUCUUCCACAUAUAGCUGCAAGGUUGCAGAUAACAGAAACACUUAGUGGCAUUGUUACUGAGAGCAGGCGAGUCAUUGGAGUGUUUGGAAGAGAAUAAAAGGCAGCGGAUAGAGCGAGAACAAGGAAGGAUUACGUGAAGUAAGGAGGGUAGUUGAAGAAGGGAGGGAGCCUGAAAUCCCCCAGCCUCUGCAUCUCCGCAACUGCGCCCGCCCAAAAAACAAGUCCUGCAGGAAUUGAAAAAAUCAGGCUCUGCAGCAAUUGUAAUAUCAUCUCAGAAACAUGGAUUGAAAUCUAAUCGUUCAUAGAUAAGAAAAGCGAAGACGCAGAUCGAAACUUCCAAGUAAUCUCUCCUCACCUGAAGACCCUUCUCACUUAUUUUUUUUGAAACCCAAACCUUAAUAUCAUUAAACAUCAGGCCCAGCACUCAUGUCACGGACCAAAACAUCGUUUACAAAGGUUGGGAGGGGAGCUGUCCACAACAUAACAAGCUCCGGGUCCCCAGAUAAAGCAAAGUGAGCUAUAGAAUGUGCACCCGUAUUACAAAUACGAUUACAAUGCUUAACAGAACAAGAAAUAAAAUCUGAAAACAUAAGAUGUCUUAAUUCCUUAAAGAGCCAUCCUUCAACGCAUAGAUCAAAUGAUGUUGACUUCAGGGCUUUCACCAGGUUGAGGCAAUCGGUCUCCAAAAUAAUAUUGCCAAUGCCUAAAUCACGAGCAGCCUUUAGCGCUUCUAAACAACCAACAGUUUCAGCGUGCAUCGCUUGGAAAGCUUUGUAUAACUUCCCUGCGCCUGCUGCUAUACUAUCACCAGUAUGGUCUCUAAUGACAAACCCCCAUGCUCCUACUUUCAGCUCUGGUAGAAAAGCUCCAUCACAAUUAAUUUUGAGGAAACCUUCAGGUGGUGGAGUCCAUCGUUCUUGCAUCUGUACAGCAGCUGUAUUUCUUGGUUUCGUACCUUUCACAAUUUUCUCCCAUCCUGUCAUGCUCAUUACCGAGUGAACUAAUUCAUCAGUUGAGUUCCUUUUGUCACCAUUGAUCACUUUGUUUCUUACAUUCCACCAAGCCCAGAGUAAAUAAAUAAUCACCAAACGAACUGUCUCUGGUAAUUUAAUAAUUUCAUGGACCAUGUUCUGAGCCGUUGCUUCUUUUAACAGAUUUAAUCUGAAAUCUUCUAAACCAAGAGUCCUCCAACAUUUUUUAACAUCUUUGCAUUUUAGGAACAAAUGACCACCAUCCUCGUCAAACCGACUACACAUUGGACAACGUGUAUCUAGUUGCAUACCUUUCCUUUUCAAAUUUGAACGCAAAGGAUGACUGUUAUGAGCUAAUCUCCAUAAAAAAUGAACCACCUUCGGUUGGCAAUUCAGUUUCCAGAGGCGAGACCAAAAUUGUUGUACAUUCCUACUUGCUCCAUUUGUAGAUUCACCCAAUUGUCUCUGAUCCAUCAAUUCUUCCUUAUCUUUUAUAGUGUGAUAAGCUGAUUUCACUGUGAAAAGGCCCUUUGUAUCAGGGUGCCAUGCCACGUGAUCCUCCUGAUCCAUCUGAAUUGGAAUGGCAAGAAUUAGAUUUGCAUCAAUGUCCCAGAAAACUGCCUCAACAAGAUCUCUAUCCCAAAGACCAGUAUUAGGAUCAAUCAAGUCUGCCACCUUUGUUAAGAUAGUCCUUCCUUUUGGUGUCGCUGGUCUUUGAUUUGCCCCAUUCGGUAUCCAAGGGUCCAACCAGAUGUUAAUAUUUUCUCCGUUUCCCACUCGCCAGAUGAGCCCCUUCUGUAACGCUUGAACACCAUGAAGAAUACUUCGCCAUGCAUAAGAAAUCCCUGAUUUCUCUUUUGCCUUGAGUAGAUUACCAUGUGGGAAAUACCGUGCCUUCAACACUUGAGCACAUAAGGAAUCAGGGUAAUGAAUUAAACGCCAGCCCUGUCGAGCUAACAUGGCCAGGUUAAAACAAUGUACAUCCCUGAAACCCAUACCUCCCUUUGAUUUUCGUUUGCUCAUCAUCUCCCAGGACAACCAAUGAAUUUUCUUCUCAUUAUCCUGGUUCGCCCACCAGAAUCUUCCAAUCAUGGAGCUGAUCUCAUCACACAACGUUUUGGUCAGAUCAAAAACAGACAUCGCAUAGGUAGGCAUAGACUGAAUGACUGCCUUAAUGAGUACUUCCUUCCCUGCCUUGGACAGAAGUUUUAUUUUCCAGCCUUGAAUCUUUUUCCAUAUUCUAUCCUUCAGAUAUGCAAAGGUUUGAGCUUUAGAUCUCCCCAUAUAAACUGGCAGUCCCAAAUAUUUAUCAUUCAUGGCUUCAGUCUUUAUAUUCAAUUGCCUCAUCACCUCUUUCCUGAUACUCUGCUUGGUAUUCUUACUAAACAUGAUGCAUGACUUUUCCUUGUUUAUCAUUUGCCCCGAGCAAACCUCAUACAGUGAAAUAAUAUUUUUCAGGUGAUGCACACUGUGUUCAUCAGCUUUGAUCAGAAGUAGAGAAAAGACGAGGAAAACACUCCAAUCCUGAUGGAUCUGCG
rnacentral:lncRNA from 1 species